rnacentral:rRNA from 1 species
GACGGAAGGUGCAAGCGUUGCUCGGAAUCACUGGGCGUAAAGGGCGCGUAGGCGGCCUGAUAAGUAGGGGGUGAAAUCCUGCGGCUUAACCGCAGGGCUGCCUUCUAAACUGUCAGGCUUGAGCACAGUAGAGGCAGGUGGAAUUCCCGGUGUAGCGGUGGAAUGCGUAGAGAUCGGGAAGAACAUCAGUGGCGAAGGCGGCCUGCUGGGCUGUUGCUGACGCUGAGGCGCGACAGCGUGGGGAGCAAACAGG